UUGGGGAUUUAGCUCAGUGGUAGAGCCCUUGCCUAGGAAGCAAAAGGCCCUGGGUUCGGUCCCCAGCUCCAAA
rnacentral:tRNA from 1 species